CCUAUCAUUAACAAUAGAAUUCGCGUGGUUUUAUCUCUGAUGGGGAGAGCUCCCUGCGUUUCAGGUUGGCUUCCGUCCUAGGUGGCAGCUCUCCUCUAGCGUGGCUUCUCCUCUACAAGGGUGCAUGUGCUCCACUCUGAUUCCACCGUCAGCUAUCUUUUCUUGCGAUUCGGUGAUGCAAACUCCCUUCUUCAAGGAUUUGGUUGAUUAGGUUAGGAAUUUUCUGAUAGAGUCUCAAAUUGAAGAUCUCCAAUCAAUCAAUCAGUUUUUUUCUGGUGUGAUUACUUCUCCCUAUGCCAUUGAAUGAAGAUGCAUAUGGAUUGAGAUUUUCUUUUCUCUCCAUUUUCAUCUUCAAUUUGAGUUAAAAAAGGUGAGUCUUGUGUCCUAAAUUUUUUCUAUUAAAGGAUGGUUGGUGAACCACAUUUAAUACAAGCAUUCUACUGUCUUCCAUUUUCUCCUAAGCUGUGUUUGUUCGGCAUUUUCUCUGUUUAUAUCUUAAUCUAUUUCAUCAAGUUUAUUUUCCUCUUUUUUUUUCUCUGUAAUGCCUCUUCCAUUUGAUAUGAUUUCUAAGAUGCAUCUUCCUAGAGAGACUUGGAGGCUGAAAGUUAGGAUAUUAAGGCUUUGGGCUGUACUCUCUUUUGGUAAUCAUGAGGUUUCUAAUUGAAUGAAAAUGAUUCUUCUUAAUGAGCAUGUUAGCCCCUAUUAGCAACUGUUUUAAAUAUGGUGUUGGUUGUUGUUUUUAAGUUUUCAACUUAAAAUUAUGUGUUUUACUAAUCUGAUUUUGUUUUUUUGUUGUAUUUCCAGUGUGAAAAAAUUCAAGCUAUAAUUAAGAAACAACUUCUUAAUAGGUUUAAGUAUUAUAUAGUUGAAGGUCAAGUUUAUAGAAUGACAAACUUUACUGUUGUGUCAAAUCAUGGUAGUUAUAGAGCAACUUCUCAUGAAUUCAAAUUGGUUUUCCUUCACCGAUCCACUGUUAUACCUGUUGGUGAAGAUGUUAUCCUGAAGACUUGUUUCAACAUGUUUCCUUUUUCUGAGCUGCUGAACAUGACCCAAGAUUAUGAUUUUUUGGUUGGUCUUUUAACUUCAGUAGGAGAAGCGAAAGAAUAUGCAAAAGAGGAAAAAAUUGGAAAAAUAAUUGUGCUAGAAUUAACUUCAAAAAAGUGCGACUCUCUUGAGCCGAUGUAUUCAAACAUAACCUCUAUAAGCAACCUCUAUCUUACAGGUGCGACCAUCCCCUGGAUUGGCCGAUGUAUCUCUGGAAAACAAAUCUCGGUGGACUCACCACCAUAUCUCUGCUCGUUUUCAGCAGAUUUAAAAUUAAAAUAACACUUGAAGAUCAUAGAGGAGAGGGUAUUUUCGUUCUCUUUGAUCGUGAAGCAUCUUAUUUAUCUAAGAAAUCAUGUGCUGACUUAUUUAUUGAGGUUCAAAAAGAUGCAAGUGUAUGUUCUUAGUUUUCUUUCUGUGCUGUUCAGUUUAUGUGGUUCAUUCUUUUGUAGACAUAGUCUUUAUUUUGGUUGAUAUUUGUUGUUCAAACUAUGUAUUUCUUAUGUUUUUUACCUUGAAAAUAGUUUAUAUGUAGGGAUAUUUAUCCUUCCAUCUUUCAAUGAAAAAAAGUUGCUACUGAAAGUUGAUACCAAAGGUGUUGGAUUUGAUAAAUAUUUUGGCACAGCUAGGAGAGUAUGUGAUGACCGCACCAUUAUUACUAUAUUUAAACUUUCUGAUUAUGAUGCUAAUGAUGAGUCUACUCCAAAAAAGGUUACAUAUACAUAUAAGUAUUUUUAGAAUGUGUAAAUUCAUGUUUUUUUUGUAUUGUGCUGUGGUCUCCUCUUCUUAUCUUCUUUUUUUUUUUAUUUUUUAACUAUGAUGCUAUGUUAAUAGGAACCUGCAUUACAAAAAUCUGUGUUAUGUGAAAAAAGAGGUAUCGAUAUUAAGAAAGAGUCAUCAAACACUUCUAUCAAAAGUGAUAAAGUUGCUAUUGAGUUUUCUGGGAUUUUAUCUAAAUCACCAGUUCUUAUAGAUUUUUUGGCUGAAAAAUAGUCUGAUAUUUUCGGAGGGACUGAGGUUGCUGCCAUAACUAAUGAUGAAAAUGAAAAAUCUGAAAAAACACCCGAUAAUGACACCGUUAGUAAUGAUCGUUCUUCUGAACUGAAUAUAUUACUUAGCUCACCAGUAAAAGAAACUCAGGAAGUGUUCUUCGAAGUUCUUGAUGCAUCUUCCCACCAUAGAGAAAAGGUUAUUCAUAAAGAUCAUGUUGUUACUUUCAAGGAAAAGAUGAAUUUGAGUCUCUAAUUUGAUGAGGCGGCUAAUGAUACAAAUGGGCGUGGGUCCAAGAUUACCAAGGUUGAUGGAGUUUGAUUUAAGUUGUGGAGCUGAGUUGCUGUGUUUAGGUGUAGAUAUGUUAUAUAGUAUAUAUCUAUAAGUGUUUAGAAAGGCUUAUGAUUCCAAGUGGAUCUAAAUAUAAUCAUGCUGGCUGGAUAUUGUUUUGAUUUGACUUUUUUGGAUUAUGUCUAACUAAUAGGAUUGUCAGAUAUAGAAGUUUGUCUUGUGUGUUGGCUCAGGUCACGAGUCAACUAGGUCUAUUAUUAACUCCUUCUUUUGUAAUAGUGAAUUUAUUAGGGAUUAGACACAUUUUCAAUGUUGUAGCCUAUAGAUUACAUAUUAGGAUAUGUAGUCAGGUUUUGAAAUCCUCCUUAUCAUAGGAGAGAUAGCCAUAUAUAAUUGUGUAUAUCAAUAUAUUAAUGAAAUACAGCA